UCCUGGAUGUCCGAGUGGUCUAAGGAGAUGGUCUUAAGAUCCAUUCACGAAAGUGGCGUGAGUUCGAACCUCACUCCAGGAA